rnacentral:rRNA from 1 species
UACGAGGGGGGCAAGCGUUGUUCGGAAUUAUUGGGCGUAAAGGGUGCGUAGGCGGUUUGGUAAGUCUGAUGUGAAAUCUAUGGGCUCAACUCAUAGUCUGCAUCGGAAACUGCCGGGCUUGAGUGUGGGAGAGGUGAGUGGAAUUCCUGGUGUAGCGGUGAAAUGCGUAGAUAUCAGGAGGAACACCUGUGGCGAAAGCGGCUCACUGGACCAUAACUGACGCCGAUGCACGAAAGCUAGGGGGAGCAAACAGG